UGUAGCUGAGCGGUAGAGCGCUUGUCUAGCAUGCAUGAGGUGCUGGGUUCAAUCCCCAGCA
rnacentral:tRNA from 1 species